ACGCUGACAGAAUGCUUAACACAUGCAAGUCUAUGAGGAAGUUUAGCUUGCUAAAUGGACUCAUGGCGGACGGGUGAGUAACGCGUAAAGAACUUGCCCUUUAGACUGGGAUAACAGAGGGAAACUUCUGAUAAUACUGGAUAAGUUAGUAUAUCGCAUGAUAUGCAAAUGAAAGCUACGGCACUAAAGGAGAGCUUUGCGUCCUAUUAGCUAGUUGGUAAGGUAAGAGCUUACCAAGGCGAUGAUAGGUAGCCGGCCUGAGAGGGUGGACGGCCACAAGGGGACUGAGAUACGGCCCUUACUCCUACGGGAGGCAGCAGUGGGGAAUAUUGGACAAUGGAGGGAACUCUGAUCCAGCAAUUCUGUGUGUGUGAAGAAGGUUUUAGGACUGUAAAACACUUUUAGUAGGGAAGAAAAAAAUGACGGUACCUACAGAAGAAGCAACGGCUAAAUACGUGCCAGCAGCCGCGGUAAUACGUAUGUUGCGAGCGUUAUCCGGAAUUAUUGGGCUUAAAGGGCAUCUAGGCGGUAAGACAAGUUGAAGGUGAAAACCUGUGGCUCAACCAUAGGCUUGCCUACAAAACUGUUGAACUAGAGUACUGGAAAGGUGGGUGGAACUACACGAGUAGAGGUGAAAUUCGUAGAUAUGUGUAGGAAUGCCGAUGAUGAAGAUAACUCACUGGACAGAAACUGACGCUGAAGUGCGAAAGCUAGGG
rnacentral:rRNA from 1 species